AUGGGUCCGCCAACUGAGUGUACUAUACAUAUUGUAUUUUUUCCUUCUAGGUACCAUCAAGUUUGUAUUCAUAUACAGUAGUCAACUUUAAGUUAAACUAGAUAUUGAUCCGCCCUUAAAAGGACGGGUAUAUUUUUUGUUUAAAUUUUUUAAAAAAAUUUAAUUUCUAUAUUUUUGUUUUUUUUGUAAUUAAUAUUAAUUUAAUUUAAUUUAAUUGUUGGUAACUAUAUUAAGUAUGUCAAGUUGCAUAACUAUACACUUGUGCUUUAUGCAUUUCAG
rnacentral:lncRNA from 1 species